UGGGGAAUAUUGGACAAUGGGCGAAAGCCUGAUCCAGCCAUGCCGCGUGAGUGACGAAGGCCUUAGGGUUGUAAAACUCUUUCGUCGGGGACGAUAAUGACGGUACCCGAAGAAGAAGCUCCGGCUAACUUCGUGCCAGCAGCCGCGGUAAUACGAAGGGAGCUAGCGUUGUUCGGAAUCACUGGGCGUAAAGCGAGUGUAGGCGGUUUGGUAAGUCGGAUGUGAAAGCCCCGGGCUCAACCCGGGAAGUGCAUUCGAUACUGCCAAGCUAGAGUAUCGGAGAGGUUGGUGGAAUUCUCCGUGUAGAGGUGAAAUUCGUAGAUAUCGAGAGGAACACCGGUGGCGAAGGCGGCCAACUGGACGAAUACUGACGCUAAGGCGCGAAAGCAAGGGGAUCAAACAGGAUUAGAUACCCACGUAGUCCCUGAGCGGGCUGGCAAGGCGCAU
rnacentral:rRNA from 1 species